UGGCGGACGGGUGGAGUAACGCGUGGGUAACCUGCCCUGUACAGGGGGAUAACAGUUAGAAAUGACUGCUAACACCGCAUAAGCGCACGGUAAGGCAUCUUAGUGUGUGAAAAUAUUAAUAGGUACAGGAUGGGCCCGCGUCUGAUUAGCCAGUUGGCAGGGGUAACGGCCUACCAAAGCGACGAUCAGUAGCCGGCUUGAGAGACGUGAACGGCCACAUUGGGACUGAGACACGGCCCAAACUCCUACGGAAGGCAGCAG
rnacentral:rRNA from 1 species